UUUCCGAAGAGGUAAAACCAGGGUAACCUGGUGACACAAAGCCACGGGUCCUGAAAUCGUCCUAGGUAUUUCAGGAUGGCCGGGUUGGCGAA
rfam:Geobacter sulfurreducens PCA, complete genome.